ensembl:misc_RNA Metazoa_SRP Metazoan signal recognition particle RNA
GCUGGGUGUGGUGGUGCACACCUGUAAUCCCAGCUACUCAGGAGGCUGAGGCAGGAGAAUCACUUGAACCUGGGAGGUGGAGGUUGCAGUGAGUCGAGAUCACACCACUGCCCUCCAGCCUGGGCAAUAAAGCGAGACUUUGUCUCAA